rnacentral:rRNA from 1 species
GACGAACGCUGGCGGCGUGCUUAACACAUGCAAGUCGAACGGAAAGGCCCUGCUUUUGUGGGGUGCUCGAGUGGCGAACGGGUGAGUAACACGUGAGUAACCUGCCCUUGACUUUGGGAUAACUUCAGGAAACUGGGGCUAAUACCGGAUAGGAGCUCCUGCUGCAUGGUGGGGGUUGGAAAGUUUCGGCGGUUGGGGAUGGACUCGCGGCUUAUCAGCUUGUUGGUGGGGUAGUGGCUUACCAAGGCUUUGACGGGUAGCCGGCCUGAGAGGGUGACCGGCCACAGUGGGACUGAGAUACGGCACAGACUCCUACGGGAGGCAGCAGUGGGGAAGAUUGCACAAUGGGCGGAAGCCUGAUGCAGCAACGCCGCGUGCGGGAUGACGGCCUUCGGGUUGUAAACCGCUUUCGCCUGUGACGAAGCGUGAGUGACGGUAAUGGGUAAAGAAGCACCGGCUAACUACGUG